rnacentral:rRNA from 1 species
AUACGGAGGAUGCGAGCGUUAUCCGGAUUUAUUGGGUUUAAAGGGAGCGUAGGCGGGAGCUUAAGUCAGCGGUUAAAUGGUGCGGCUCAACCGUGCCCUGCCGUUGAAACUGGGUUUCUUGAGAGUGCAAGAGGCGGAUGGAAUUCAUGGUGUAGCGGUGAAAUGCUUAGAUAUCAUGAAGAACUACGAUUGCGAAGGCAGUCCGCUGGGGCACGUCUGACGCUGAUGCUCGAAGGUGCGGGAAUCAAACAGGAUUAGAUACCCUGGUAGUCCGCACGGUAAACGAUGAUUACCCGCUGUCGGCGGCAGACAGUCGGCGGCCAAGCGAAAGCGAUAAGUAAUCCACCUGGGGAGUACGCCGGCAACGGUGAAACUCAAAGGAAUUGACGGGG